GCCUUGGUGGUGGAAUUGGUAGACACGCGGGACUUAAAAUCCCGUGGGCAGCAAUGUCCGUGCGGGUUCAAUUCCCGCCCGAGGUA
rnacentral:tRNA from 1 species